UGAAACAGUUUGUGGUUCUGUGGUAAACCAAAUCCUCAUUUCUGUCUCUUUCUCUCUGCAGCUGCUCUGUCCUUGCCAUCUGAAAUGCCUUCAUUGCUUUCCUUAAUUGUUUUAACCCAGAGCCAGUCCUGGUGGCUGCAGAGUCCUGGAGCUGUCCACAAGGAACUGGGAAGAAGGAGGAGGCAGUGACCAGGGUGCAGGAGAUCUUCUGGCACAGCUGGAUCGCUGCCUGCCCUGAGGCUCAGGGGAAUUUCCCUGUUAUUCCCCCUUACCAGAUAUUAAGCAAAUAAGCAAGAAAUGACAAUGUGCCUCUCCAAUCAAGGUUUUUUCAGCAGUAUUAAAACUAAAGUUGCUUCUCAUCAAGUGCCAGAAGAAACGUUGUUCACUGUAUACUGAGAAAGAGAAUUUUCCAAUUUCUAUUUCUGCUAAGAUGUUGUACUUGCAUAUGCUACGCAAAGAAAUUAAAAUUGAAGAUGGAGAACACAUAGGGUUACUUUUCUACAAUAGGCAGACCAUUGGACAAAUCAAUAUCUGAGUUUCUAUUUGCUUUUUCCUACUCCCUAGAUCAAAUAAAGCUAUUAAUUGGUGUUAUUCGUGGUGCUGUUGCCCUUUGCAAAAUAUACUCAUUAAAAAUGCUUCUUGGUUCAAA